UCCAGUGUGUGUGAAUAGCUUGCUCAUUGCUUUUCCUCAUCAUCACCCCACUUCUCUUUUUCUCUGAAUUGAAUGUUUCUACAUUCAUUAUUUCACACUUUUGCUUUGUUUCGUAGAUAUUCAAUCCCAAAUCUAGGACAGCCCAAGAGAGUAUUGCCUUCUCAGUUGGACUGCCAGAUAUUUCAGGGGUUGAUGUAGGAUGUGGUUUGUUAACAGUGGCUGCUGUAUUUAAAGCAAUACCUUCUUCUAGUAACAAAGAGAACUCUGGUUCUAUUUCCGUUGAAAUACUAUGCUCAGUUAGCUCUUUUCCAAGCCAAAACUCUGAAACUUGCAUCUGGUUCAUAGUGAGAGUGCCUGUCUUGUCGGUGCAGAUUGUUGUGGCUGAACCCAUUGUUUCACAUGCUGAGAGUUUGCGCACCAAUGCAUUGUCUGCCAUCAUUUGCUUCAUAGAGUAAGCAAGAGUUAGGGUUACGGCCAGGGGUAGACCUUCUGGAAUUGCUACCACUACAAUAGUCACUGCUGCUGCAAUAAUAUCGACCACUGAAUUCAGCACAUCAUUGACCUUUGUCUUACUUCCAUUAUAUUCUGGACGUCCAUGAUCAUCUCUAGUGUUUCCUGUGAAGUAACGGAUUGUCAAAACAGCAAGAACCAGGAUGGCCACUGCCAAUCCAACUUUUCCGAUGUAAGAUGUCAGUUUGUUGAGUCGUGCUUGCAAUGGGGUCUGCUCAUCCAAAUUGCGGCUUAUAGAACUCAUCAUCUCACCCCAAGCUGUAUUCAUUCCAACGGAUGUAACAAGCAUGAAACCAAAGCCAUCAGUCACCUUGGUACCAGAGAGCAGGAAUGGAUUUGUG
rnacentral:misc_RNA from 1 species